ACCAGACUCCUACGGGAGGCAGCAGUGGGGAAUAUUGCACAAUGGGGGAAACCCUGAUGCAGCAACGCCGCGUGAGUGAAGAAGGUUUUCGGAUUGUAAACCUCUGUGGACAGGGACGAUAAUGACGGUACCUGUCAAGAAAGCCACGGCUAACUACGUGCCAGCAGCCGCGGUAAUACGUAGGUGGCGAGCGUUGUCCGGAAUUACUGGGUGUAAAGGGAGUGUAGGCGGGAAGGCAAGUCAGAAGUGAAAAUUAUGGGCUCAACCCAUAACCUGCUUUUGAAACUGUUUUUCUUGAGUGAAGCAGAGGCAAGCGGAAUUCCUAGUGUAGCGGUGAAAUGCGUAGAUAUUAGGAGGAACACCAGUGGCGAAGGCGGCUCUCUGGUCUGUAACUGACGCUGAGGUUCGAAAGCGUGGGUAGCAAACAGGAUUAGAUACCCGCGUACU
rnacentral:rRNA from 1 species